GUCAAGUCAUCAUGGCCCUUAUGUCCAGGGCGACACACGUGCUACAAUGGUCGGUACAGAGGGAAGCAAACCUGUGAGGGCAAGCGGAUCCCGUAAAGCCGAUCUCAGUUCGGAUUGAAGUCUGCAAUUCGACUUCAUGAAGCUGGAAUCGCUAGUAAUCGCAGAUCAGCCAAGCUGCGGUGAAUACGUUCCCGGGCCUU
rnacentral:rRNA from 1 species